UACGUAGGUGCGAAGCAGUGUCCGGCGAAUUAUUGGGCGUAAAGAGCUCGUAGGCGGUCUGUCGCGUCGGCUGUGAAAACUCGGGGCUCAACCCCGAGCCUGCAGUCGAUACGGGCAGACUAGAGUGCUGUAGGGGAGACUGAAUUCCUGGUGUAGCGGUGAAAUGCGCAGAUAUCAGGAGGAACACCGGUGGCGAAGGCGGGUCUCUGGGCAGUAACUGACGCUGAGGAGCGAAAGCGUGGGGAGCGAACAGG
rnacentral:rRNA from 1 species